CGAGAACCGGCCCUUCGGGGCCGGGGACAGCGGCGACCGGGUGAGUAACACGUGGGUAAUCUGCCCUCGGCACCAGGAUAGCCCGGGGAAACCCGGAUUAAAUACCGGAUGGCCAUUCGAGUCUUCGGGUUCGAAUGGAAAGGUAGCCUUCGGCCUCCGGCCGAGGAUGAGCCCGCGGCCGAUUAGUUUGUUGGUGAGGUAACGGCUCACCAAGGCUGCGAUCGGUAGCUGGUCUGAGAGGACGAUCAGCCACACUGGGACUGAGACACGGCCCAGACUCNUACGGGAGGCAGCAGUGGGGAAUCUUGCGCAAUGGGCGAAAGCCUGACGCAGCGACGCCGUGUGCGGGAAGAAGGCCUUCGGGUUGUAAACCGCUUUCAGGAGGGACGAAGCCACUCGGGUUAAUAGCCCAGAGGGUGACGGUACUUCCAGAAGAAGCCCCGGCUAACUACGUGCCAGCAGCCGCGGUAAUACGUAGGGGGCUAGCGUUGUCCGGAUUUAUUGGGCGUAAAGAGCGUGUAGGCGGCCAGGUAGGUCCGGUGUGAAAACUCGAGGCUCAACCUCGAGAUGUCGCCGGAAACCAUCUGGCUAGAGUCCGGAAGAGG
rnacentral:rRNA from 1 species